AUGGUCAUGGAACGGUUAACCCUGCGUCUUCCUGAAGUCAUGGGCUUUUGCUGGCGGGAUGGUCCUGGCAGCCCUGUCUUCCCAGGAAAGAACCAGGAGAAGCUGACUUCACCUGGGACUGAGAGCCACACCCAGGAAAGUGAAGCUCCAGUGAUGGAGCAGAAGGAGCAGAAGGAGGGCAUGGAGCCAGACAUGCAGAAUUACCAGAAUAGUGAGAGUGGGGAAAAGAAUGAGGGAUUGGAGAGUGCUCCUGAAGGCCAGGCCCAACAACACAGGCCCUACUGCAGGCGAUUGUUCCCACCUUACUACAUGCGGAGGCUCUAUGGGUGUUGACCACAGUAUUCCAACCCUCCUGUGCAAGGAGAAGUGAUGAAGGGUGCUGACAACCAGGGUGCCAGAGAACAAGGUAGACCAGUGAGGCAGAAUAUGUAUCAGGGUUACAGACCAUGAUUCCGUAGGGGCCCUCCUCACCAAAGACAGCCUAGAGAGGAUGGCAGUGAAGAGGAUAAGAAAAUCAAGGAGAUGAUACCCAAGGUCAGCAGCCACCUCAACUUCGGUACUGCCGCAACUUCAAUUACUGAUGCAGACUCCCAGAAAACCCUAAACCCCAAGAUGGCAAAGAGAUGAAAGCAGCCGAUCCACCAGCUGAGAAUUCGUCUGCUCCCGAGGCUGAGCAGGGUGGGGCUGAGUAAAUGCUGGCUUACCAUCUCGACCAUCAUCCGGUUUAGUCAUCCAACAAGAAGAAAUGAAUAUGAAAUUCCAGCAAUAAGAAACGAACAAAAGAUUGGAGCUGAAGACCUUAACUGCUUGUUUUUUGCCCGUUGACCAGAUAACUAGAACUAUCUGCAUUAUCUAUGCAGCAUGGGAUUUUUAUUAUUUUUACCUAAAGACAUCUCUUUUUGGUAAUAACAAACAUG